rnacentral:lncRNA from 1 species
AACAAGCGUCGAACUUUACAGAAAAACGACAUCGCUGCCGCGAUUACGCGGACUGACAUUUUUGAUUUCCUUGUUGACAUUGUUCCUAGGGAUGAGAUCAAGGAAGAGGGUGGUGUUGGUCUUGGGCCUGCUGGGAAAAGAACGACAUAGCUGCAGCGAUUACGCGGACUGACAUUUUUGAUUUCCUUGUUGACAUUGUUCCGAGGGAUGAGAUCAAGGAAGAGGGUGGUGUUGGUCUUGGGCCUGCUGGGAUUGUGGGCUCCACAGCUAGUGGUGUGCCUUACUAUUACCCACCAAUGGGCCAGCCUGCUCCACCGGGUGUGAUGAUGGGCAGGCCUGCU